AGCAGCCGCGGUAAUUCCAGCUCCAAUAGCGUAUAUUAAAGUUGUUGCAGUUAAAAGCUCGUAGUUGAAUUUCGGGGUUCAUCCGUUGGUCGGGCUUUUUUGGUCUGUACUGGCGUGAUGGAUUCCUACCUUCUGAAUAACCGGCAUGUCAUUAAUUUGGUGCGCCGGGGAAGCAGGACUGUUACCUUGAAAAAAUUAGAGUGCUUAAAGCAGGCUAUCGCCUGAAUACAUUAGCAUGGAAUAAUGAAAUAGGACGGCAUGGUUCUAUUUUGUUGGUUUCUAGGAUCACCGUAAUGAUUAAUAGGGAUAGUUGGGGGCAUUAGUAUUCAAUUGUCAGAGGUGAAAUUCUUGGAUUUAUUGAAGACUAACUUCUGCGAAAGCAUUUGCCAAGGAUGUUUUCAUUAAUCAAGAACGAAAGUUAGGGGAUCGAAGACGAUCAGAUACCGUCGUAGUCUUAACCAUAAACUAUGCCGACUAGGGAUCGGACGAUGUUAAUUUUUUAAUGACUCAUUCGGCGCCU
rnacentral:rRNA from 1 species